UACGGGGGGAGCAAGCGUUGUUCGGAUUUACUGGGCGUAAAGGGCGCGUAGGCGGCCUCCGCAAGUCGACUGUGAAAUCUCCGGGCUUAACCCGGAAAGGUCAGCCGAUACUGCGGGGCUAGAGUGCAGAAGGGGCAACUGGAAUUCUCGGUGUAGCGGUGAAAUGCGUAGAUAUCGAGAGGAACACCUGCGGCGAAGGCGGGUUGCUGGGCUGACACUGACGCUGAGGCGCGAAAGCUAGGGGAGCGAACGGG
rnacentral:rRNA from 1 species